rnacentral:lncRNA from 1 species
GAUGGUGAAAGGAUUAGAAGAAUCCAAUGGCUUGUGUCAACGUUCAACCAAAAUGGAGAAGUGCGUGAAUGAGUGGAUAUUAAGACUGACCAAGACGUUCAUAGGAUGAUGCGUUACAUGUUCAAAAUUGUUUUUAUGGUUGUAACCGCAUAGUUAUUGUAUUGUAGUUGUUUUAAUUGUUUGCGUUGUUGUUUAUGUAAUGAUAUUUGCUCACAAACUUAUAAUAUGAAAUAAAUUUAGUUUUUCAUAUAUUA